CAGAAAGACACUGUCAGGAACCAGAGGGAGCAUCUGCUUCUGCUUCUUGCUAAUGUUCAUAUAAGGCUUAAUCCCAAGCCUGAGCCUUUAAACAAGCUUGAUGAUCGAGCUGUUGAUGCGGUUAUGAGCAAGCUCUUUAAGAACUACAAUACAUGGUGUAAGUUCUUGGGAAGAAAACACAGUUUAAGACUCCCUCAAGGGCAACAAGAAGUGCAACAGAGGAAGAUACUUUACAUGGGACUCAAUCUUCUUAUCUAGGGUGAAGCAGCUAAUGUUCGAUUUAUGCCGGAAUGCCUAUGCUACAUCUUUCACAAUAUGGCAUAUGAGCUUCAUGGUUUGCUGGCUGGAAAUGUUAGUAUUGUUACCGGAGAAAACAUUAAGCCUUCAUACGGAGGAGAUGAUGAGUCUUUCCUGCGGAAAGUUGUAUCACCCCUUUACCGAGUAAUAGAUAGGGAAGCCGAUAAGAGUAAAGGUGGAAAAGCCGCUCAUGCAAAUUGGUGUAACUAUGAUGACUUGAACGAGUAUUUCUGGUCCACGGACUGCUUCUCACUGGGUUGGCCUAUGCGUGAUGAUGUUGAAUUUUUCAAAUCAACACAUGGCAUGAAUUAGGGAAGAGAAGCAACUCCUGGAAAGGAUAGAAGCACGGGCAAAUCAUAUUUUGUUGAGACGCGAUCAUUCUGGCACAACUUGAGAAGUUUUGAUCAUAUGUGGACAUUCUACAUUCUGGCUUUGCAGGCAAUGGUUAUUGUUGCAUGGAAAGGUAUUUCUCUACUAGAUAUUUUUCAAAAGGAUGCCUUAUAUAGUCUUUCCAGUAUUUUUAUAACGGCAGCAUUUCUUCGCUUCCUUCAAAGUAU